rnacentral:rRNA from 1 species
AAGUCGUAACAAGGUUUCCGUAGGUGAACCUGCGGAAGGAUCAUUACCGAAUUGUCGACACGAGUUGUUGCUGGCCCUCGAAGGGGGGCACGUGCACGCUCUGUUUACACAUCCACUCACACCCGUGCACCCUCUGUAGUUCUAUGGCCUGGGGGACACUGUCCCCUUGCUGUGGUCCUACGUUUUUACACACACACCGUAAUAAAGUCUUAUGGAAUGCAUGUCGCGUUUAACGCAAUACAAUACAACUUUCAGCAACGGAUCUCUUGGCUCUCGCAUCGAUGAAGAACGCAGCGAAAUGCGAUAAGUAAUGUGAAUUGCAGAAUUCAGUGAAUCAUCGAAUCUUUGAACGCACCUUGCGCCCUUUGGCUAUUCUGAAGGGCAUGCCUGUUUGAGUAUCAUGAACACCUCAACUCUCGUGGUUUGCCAUGAUGAGCUUGGACUUUGGGGGUCUUGCUGGCCUACGGUCGGCUCCUCUUAAAUGAAUCAGCUUGCCAGUGUCUGGUGGCAUCACAGGUGUGAUAACUAUCUACGCUUGUGGUUUUCUGCCAGGUAACCUUCAGUGAUGGAGGUUCGCUGGGGCUCACAAAUGUCUCUCCUCAGCGAGGACAGCUUUUUAACGUUUGAUCUCAAAUCAGGUAGGACUACCCGCUGAACUUAA